rnacentral:lncRNA from 1 species
UUUGUGGUUUAGAAGUUAAGAUCAAAAGAUUAUUUGUGGAUAGUUGAGUAUUCUUUCAGAAUUUUUCAUCAAUAUGUUGUAUUUUUAAAUAAUUUUCUUUAAAACUGCUAUUUUUAGAAAGUUUUCAUUUUAUAUAGAAAUAUUGUAGAUUUGGGUUUGUGAUUUAGAAAUUAGGAUUACAAGAAUUUUUGUGGAUAGAUAAGUAUUCUUUCAGAGUUUUUCAUCAAUAGGUUGUAUUUUUAAAUAAUUUUCUUAAAAAUGGCUAUUUUUGGAAAGUGUUCAUUUUUUAGAGAAAUAUUGUAGAUUUGAGUUUGUGGUUUAGAAUUUAAGAUCAAAAGAUUAUUUGUGGAUAGUUGAGUAUUCUUUCAGAUUUUUUCAUCAAUAUGUUGUCUUUUUAAAUAAUUUUUUUAAAAACUGCUAUUUUUAGAAAGUUUUCAUUUUAUAGAGAAAUAUUGUAGAUUUGAGUUUGUUAUUUAGAAAUUUGAAUUACAAGAAUAUUUUUGGAUUGUUGAGUAUUCUUUCAGAGUUUUUCAUCAAUAGGUUGUAUUUUUAAAUAAUUUUCUUAAAAACUGCUAUUUUUGGAAAGUGUUUAUUUUUUAGAGAAAUAUUGUAGAUUUGAGUUUGUGGUUUAGAAGUUAAGAUCAAAAGAUUAUUUGUGGAUAGUUGAGUAUUCUUUCAGAUUUUUUCAUCAAUAUGUUGUAUUUUUAUUUUUUUUAGAGAAAUAUUUUAAAUUUGGGUUUACGGUAUAGAAAUUAAGAUAACAAGAAUAUUUUUGGAUAGUUGAGUAUUCUUUCAGAUUUUUUCAUCAAUAGGUUGUAU